GUUCUGUAGCUAUUAAUGCACUUAACUGUUUCUGAGCACAAGAGAGGAACAGUUCCAAACUGGACAGGCUUCUCUGGCGGAUGACUUGAUCAAGCUGUUGGUUUUUUGUUUUUUUACAUACUUUAUCAAUU